rnacentral:rRNA from 1 species
CCUACGGGCGGCAGCAGUGGGGAAUAUUGGGCAAUGGGCGCAAGCCUGACCCAGCAACGCCGCGUGAAGGAAGAAGGCUUUCGGGUUGUAAACUUCUUUUCUCAGGGACGAAGCGAGUGACGGUACCUGAGGAAUAAGCCACGGCUAACUACGUGCCAGCAGCAGCGGUAAUACGUAGGUGGCAAGAGUUAUCCGGAUUUGCUGGGUUUAAAGGGCGUGUAGGCGGUGAUGCAAGUCAGAUGUGAAAACCAGUGGCGCAACCUUUGGACUGGAUUGGAAACUGGGAUGCGUGAGUACGGGAGAGGCAGACGGAAUGCGGGGUGUAGCGGUGAAAUGCAUAGAUAAG